UGAGGAAUUUUGCGCAAUGGGGGGAACCCUGACGCAGCAACGCCGCGUGGGUGAUGAAGGCCUUCGGGUCGUAAAGCCCUGUCGGGCGGGAAGAACAUCCCUUCGGGGAAUGACGGUACCGCCAGAGGAAGCACCGGCUAACUCCGUGCCAGAAGCCGCGGUAAUACGGAGGGUGCAAGCGUUAUUCGGAAUUACUGGGCGUAAAGGGCGUGCAGGCGGGAGAGCAAGUCUGAUGUGAAAGCCCGGGGCUUAACCCCGGAAGUGCAGUGGAAACUGCUUUUCUUGAGUUCUGGAGAGGAAGGGAGAAUUCCCGGUGUAGAGGUGAAAUUCGUAGAGAUCGGGAGGAACAUCAGUGGCGAAGGCGCCCUUCUGGACAGCAACUGACGCUGAGACACGAAAGCGUGGGGAGCAAACA
rnacentral:rRNA from 1 species